rnacentral:lncRNA from 1 species
GGUGAUACCUUGGAAUUACAAAGUAGAAGAGAUUAUAAAAUGUGGUGCGGUGGAUAAAGUGGUCUACCACAACCAUCAACCUUUUCCUAUAUAUAUAUUAUAUAGCAUUUGCUCUUAGUAAUGUAAUAACUAAGAGCUCUGCCACAGGAGGUUGGACUUCCAAACCUGCAUUGUAGUCUCCUCCAUUUGUGAACCACAACCUUUCUUAAAGAUUUCAGAUCUGAAAAAGAGUGUGCUGGUGUAGUCUUCUGUUCCUCUCAAACCAAAUUUGUUGAGUCCUCCCAGCGCAUUCCAGUAUAGACCCUAUGGAGGAAAGUGGUGUGUCAGCUUCUGGCAAGCUUCUACAACAUCUAUUCUGAUAUCAGGGUGGGUGAGGUAGGGAUAUUUGAGUUGGAUAUUUUCCAUAGACAAUUGUUUAAGAAUUCAGAAGUUUUGAGUAGGACAAGCAACAUUUUUACAAGGUUGACCUACCCUGAAAAACAAUUUUUCUUCAAAUAAUGUGUUGCUCUUGAAGGUUUUUUUGCCAUGAUUUUGACAGGUCUUUUGACAGGUCAAACUUGCAAUCCAGCAUAUGCACAAGGUUAUCAAAAAAAAAGCAAAUUUUGACAUUACGGAUCUAGACACAAUUAAGGUUAUAAUUCCUAUAUUCUAUAUUUAUUUUCAAUAUUCUAUGCACUUGAAAAUAUACUUGAUAAAAUAUAUAAAUCCAUAUUUUUAUUUAUCAAGUAUUUUAAAACUUUACGUUUUAAACCUUAUGUUUUUAUGUAUUAGGUGGAAUGUAUAAACGAGCGAGCCGAUUUAGUUACCUAAAGUAGUUUUAUUUUCUAGGUAGUUUAUUAUUCUAGAAUAGACUAAAAUCCUAACUAUAUUGGAAGGUAACUUUCAACAUAAACCCUAUAUAUGUAAUUGAAUCCUCUAUCAAUAUUAUCUAAUACACAUAUAAUCAAGAUAUCCAUAUUCCAUAGCAUCCUUAUCUAGGGAUCCCCAUAACAGGCAGGAGGAAAACCCAUGUUGUCUGUUGGAAAUUAAUAGAUCCCAUUGAAAAAAUGUUAGCCAAAUGGAAGGGUUGGUGUCUGUCCUAUGCAGGUAGAACCCAAUUAGUCAACUGGGUCCUUUUAGGAAAAUUCCAAUAUUGGGCAAAUGGAACUGUCCUGCCAUUAAGCCUGUAAAUGGUAUACCGAAAUCCGUAUUCGAAUCCGCAUUCGAAUUCGAAUAUGACUAUCCAGAUACCUGAAUUGAAAUCCGGAUUUUAUUCGGUCGGAUUCGGAUAUCUGGAAAAUCCGUCGAUAAAAUCCGAAUUCGUUUAAGAAUUCCGGAUUCGGAUAUCCGGAUUCGGAUAUUCGAAUAUCAGGAUAAAUAUAUAAAAAAUUAAUAUUAUUAUAUUUAUAUAUUAUAUAUUUAUAUUAUAAAUUAUUAAACACUUAAACUUAAUUACCUAAGUUAUAAUUAUAAAUCUUUAUAACUUAUUAACUUAUAAUUAUUAAAUCCUAACCCUAAAGUUAUCCGAAUUCAAAUUAUCUGGAAAUCCAGAUAAUUUAUUCGGAUUAUCCGGAUUCGGAUUCAGAUUCAGAUUUUCAAAUCCGGAUUUUAUUCGGUCGGAUUCGGAUAUCUGGAUAAUUAUUCGGAUUCGGAUACCUGCAUAUCUGAUCCGAAUCCGACCGAUAUACAAGCUUACCUGCCAUGCACGGUAAUUAAAAAGGAUCCAGAAUCUAGCAUACAACUUCAUUUGGGAUGGUAGGAGAUGUAGUAGCUAAGCAAAACUGGCAUUCCUUAAGAAAGAGGGGGGAUAGAGGUGAGGGAUUUCUUUACAACUAAUGUCACUGCAAUAGUUCAAAGGACCGAGAAAUGCUGGGGUACAAACAACUCUAUCUUAGCAGAAUGGAUAAAAACUAGAUAUAUAAAGGCAACAUCAAUUGAUGAAAUUGUUUGUAGACCCACUAUUGAUCCUGCAUUGAAUGCCAGGGUAUCUAGUCCAACUGUCUACAUCAAUUGAAGAAACUAUAGAACCUCCCAACUGUCUACCUUCAAACACUCUGAAACACUAAGGCCUAAAGGGAUUAGCCAAGCACUAAACCAGGGUAUCUGGUCCAAAAUGCCUCCCAAAUUCUCCAUGUUCCUAUGGAGAAUUAAAGUCAAAAUUUUAAGCAUCCUCACUAGGCUGCAAAGCUGGGGUAUCAACCUCACUAGACCAUUUACUCUUAGAGGUCUCCAGCUGCUUCAACAAUGCUGUCUGGGUUAUGAGAGGACAGAACCCUCCCAUAUCUACGGAUGACAUUAGAAUAGGGGACAUAAUUGAAACAAUAGAGAAAUUCACACACAAAGCCAGUUGUUGGGACAUACAUUGGCUUAUGUUAGGCUCCUUGUCCUGACACAUAUGGUGCGAGAAAAAUAGAAGAAUAAAACAACACCUUAUAAGAGAAAUUAUCAGCAGAGAUAUAUUGAGGGAUGCGACCAUUGCUUAUAAUGCCACACCUUAUAAGAGAAACAAUCUGUCACAGAUUGAAUUGCAAGCUAUAUUCCUAUGAGAGUCCAACCUCUUAAGGCACUAGUCCACGGC